rnacentral:rRNA from 1 species
GAUGAACGCUGGCGGCGUGCCUAACACAUGCAAGUCGAACGGAGUUUAGCGCUGAUGAAGCUUCGGCAGAUUCUUGUUAAACUUAGUGGCGGACGGGUGAGUAACGCGUGGGUAACCUGCCUCAUACAGGGGGAUAGCAGUUGGAAACGACUGAUAACACCGCAUAAGCGCACAGUAUCGCAUGAUACAGUGUGAAAAUAUUUAUAGGUAUGAGAUGGACCCGCGUCUGAUUAGCUAGUUGGUGAGGUAACGGCCCACCAAGGCGACGAUCAGUAGCCGGCCUGAGAGGGCGGACGGCCACAUUGGGACUGAGACACGGCCCAAACUCCUACGGGAGGCAGCAGUGGGGGAUAUUGCACAAUGGGCGAAAGCCUGAUGCAGCGACGCCGCGUGAGUGAAGAAGUAUUUCGGUAUGUAAAGCUCUAUCAGCAGGGAAGAAAGACCUCGUAAGA